rnacentral:lncRNA from 1 species
UGAUGUCGAGACCCCUUUGCUCCGUAGACCUGCAUACCGAGGCGAGACAGUGGAAAUUGCUAAUUUUAUCCCUUUCUUUCCACAAAAAAGCCCUCUUCGUCUGGUGAAUCUUAGCAACGACCCACUUCAGAAGUUCGAAAACACAUAUAGUAGCUAGGAAGAGCCGAAAGGACAAAGAACACGAGGGUCAAUCUAUCUCCCC